UAAAGGGGGGGCGGGGGACGACAGCGCACGUAUUAAGGAAACGCAUGCGCAGUCUCUGUCGGCCUCGUGAGCGGCCGCCGCUCGUCGCAGUUGCGCUGCAGCGCCGCCACAAGACUGAGGAAGGAACUGCAUAGCAUAGCAAAAAAGAAAAAAGGCGUAAGAAUGUGGAUUGUAUCAGGAAAGGUUCAGCAAGAUAAAAGGGGCAUUGGGUUGCUUUCACUGGCUUUCUUAAUCCUAAAGAACUUUGAGAAGAGAGCAAGUGAAAAUUAUUCCAAGAGAAAAGGAGUAUGAUUGAAUUGUAAUACUUUUUACCCAAAGAAGAUGGACAAUAAUUGCAUUUUCAAGCUCCUAAAUGUAAUCUUUUGUCUAUCUAAUCUUGGAGAACAAGUGGGAUGAGGCAUGUCCCUAUGUGCCGAGAGAGAAGAUUAGCCACAUGGUGAUCCUAUGCCACCAGGAAGCACAUCAUAAACAGGAUGGCAUCACUGCUGUACUACAUACCUCAUCGGAUUAAACUGCACAAUUGCACCAUGACAAUCAGAUGAAAUCAGUUCAGAGAAGGGAGCAAGGAAGAGCGAGCAAACAGUGAUGAAAAAUUACAGGAAAAGGCAGGUGUUUUUUUGAUAUGGCAGAAGGAAUUUGGGUCAUUUCAGAUCAGAGCUUAUAGUUUCUAUCUAGUAGUCAUAUCUUGGUUGUCAAAUGCUUUGGUACUUGUACAUUUCAGCUCCCGAAAGAUCGAAAUCUGGAAGUGAGUGUUCGGGUUUUCUAACUUUUUUUGGAAGCCGAAUGUCCCAUGCGGCUUCCACUAUUGAUUCCGGUGCACCUGUGCAAUUGGAAGCCAAUCGGAAGCCACGCCUUGGUUUCCAAAUGUUUUGGAAGUCGAACAGACUUCCGGAAUGCAUUCUCUUUGAAAACCAAGGUACGACUGUAUA